rnacentral:rRNA from 1 species
CCUACGGGUGGCAGCAGUCGAGAAUCAUUCACAAUGGGGGAAACCCUGAUGGUGCGACGCCGCGUGGGGGAAUGAAGGUCUUCGGAUUGUAAACCCCUGUCAUGUGGGAGCAAAUGAAAAAGAUAGUACCACAAGCGGAAGAGACGUCUAACACUGUGCCAGCAGCCGCGGUAAUACAGAGGUCUCAAGCGUUUUUCGGAAUCACUGGGCGUAAAGCGUGCGUAGGGGGUUUCGUAAGGAGUGUGUGAAAGGCGCGGGCUCAACCCGAGGAGGGGACAUGAUAAGGGGAAAAUAGGGUAAGGGGGGGGGAACCGAAAUUCUGGGUGUAGCAGUGAAAUGCGUAGAUAUCGAGAGGAACACUCGUGGCGAAGGCGGGUUCCUGGACAUUAACUGACGCUGAGGCACGAAGGGCAGGGAGCGAAAGGGAUUAGAUACCCCUGUAGUC